GAGCAUAUAGCUCAAUGGUAGAGUACUUGUCUAGCAUGCAUGAAACUGGCCUUUAUCCUCA
rnacentral:tRNA from 1 species